AUCCACUCAUUACUUCUCUCAACAUUGUUUGUAUAAGCUAUAGAAAAUAUGCAAACAUCUAUCUUGUGUUAAUGUUAAAGUUAUACCAUGGAAUCAUAUGUAUUCUUAACAUUUCGGAAACGAAGAUGCCAGCCCUUUAGUAGCUUCAUAAAGAUUUAGUAUGUCAUGUGCAACAGAAGUGGUGUUUCUAGUUGAAGGAACGUCUUAUCCUUCAGAUGAAGAUGAUUUCAGAAGAUAUGGUAGUUUUUGUAUAUGAACUGUUUAUAAAAGAGAAGUUUCCAAAUAUGACCAAGCUCUAAUUUUUUUUAGAAUAUUUUGUUAUCAAUGUCCUUAAACUCGUAUGAAUGUUUGUAUUUGACCGUGUUACUGUUUUAUUUUGAGACUUUUUAAAUGGCUGGAUCAGCC